rnacentral:rRNA from 1 species
GUUGGGUAGGGGAGCGUUCUGUAAGCCUGUGAAGGUGGCCUGUGAGGGUUGCUGGAGGUAUCAGAAGUGCGAAUGCUGACAUAAGUAACGAUAAAGCGGGUGAAAAGCCCGCUCGCCGGAAGACCAAGGGUUCCUGUCCAACGUUAAUCGGGGCAGGGUGAGUCGACCCCUAAGGCGAGGCCGAAAGGCGUAGUCGAUGGGAAACGGGUUAAUAUUCCCGUACUUGGUGUUACUGCGAAGGGGGGACGGAGAAGGCUAUGUUGGCCGGGCGACGGUUGUCCCGGUUUAAGCGUGUAGGUGUGUGUUCCAGGUAAAUCCGGUUCACUUUAACACUGAGGCGUGAYGACGAGGCACUACGGUGCUGAAGCAACAAAUGCCCUGCUUCCAGGAAAAGCCUCUAAGCAUCAGGUAACAUCAAAUCGUACCCCAAACCGACACAGGUGGUCAGGUAGAGAAUACCAAGGCGCUUGAGAGAACUCGGGUGAAGGAACUAGGCAAAAUGGUGCCGUAACUUCGGGAGAAGGCACGCUGACACGUAGGUGAAGUGAUUUACUCACGGAGCUGAAGUCAGUCGAAGAUACCAGCUGGCUGCAACUGUUUAUUAAAAACACAGCACUGUGCAAACACGAAAGUGGACGUAUACGGUGUGACGCCUGCCCGGUGCCGGAAGGUUAAUUGAUGGGGUCAGCGCAAGCGAAGCUCCUGAUCGAAGCCCCGGUAAACGGCGGCCGUAACUAUAACGGUCCUAAGGUAGCGAAAUUCCUUGUCGGGUAAGUUCCGACCUGCACGAAUGGCGUAAUGAUGGCCAGGCUGUCUCCACCCGAGACUCAGUGAAAUUGAACUCGCUGUGAAGAUGCAGUGUACCCGCGGCAAGACGGAAAGACCCCGUGAACCUUUACUAUAGCUUGACACUGAACAUUGAGCCUUGAUGUGUAGGAUAGGUGGGAGGCUUUGAAGYGUGGACGCCAGUCUGCRUGGAGCCGACCUUGAAAUACCACCCUUUAAUGUUUGAUGUUCUAACGUGGACCCGUWAYCCGGGUUGCGGACAGUGUCUGGUGGGUAGUUUGACUGGGGCGGUCUCCUCCUAAAGAGUAACGGAGGAGCACGAAGGUUGGCUAAUCCUGGUCGGACAUCAGGAGGUUAGUGCAAUGGCAUAAGCCAGCUUGACUGCGAGCGUGACGGCGCGAGCAGGUGCGAAAGCAGGUCAUAGUGAUCCGGUGGUUCUGAAUGGAAGGGCCAUCGCUCAACGGAUAAAAGGUACUCCGGGGAUAACAGGCUGAUACCGCCCAAGAGUUCAGUGUUCGGGUUGUCAUGCCAAUGGCACUGCCCGGUAGCUAAAUGCGGAAGAGAUAAGUGCUGAAAGCAUCUAAGCACGAAACUUGCCCCGAGAUGAGUUCUCCCUGAGACUUAGAGUCUCCUGAAGGAACGUUGAAGACGACGACGUUGAUAGGCCGGGUGUGUAAGCGCAGCGAUGCGUUGAGCUAACCGGUACUAAUGAACCGUGAGGCUUAACCUU